GAUGAACGCUGGCGGCGUGCUUAACACAUGCAAGUCGAACGGAAAGGCCCCGUUUUUGUGGGGUGCUCGAGUGGCGAACGGGUGGGUAACAAGUGCGUAACCUGCCCUUGACUUUGGGAUAAUUUCAGGAAACUGGGGCUACUACUGGCUAGGAGUCCCUGCUGCAUGGUGGGGGUUGGAAAGUUUCGGCGGUUGGGGAUGGACUCGCGGCUUAUCAGCUUGUUGGUGAGGUAGUGGCUCACACAGGCUGUGACGGGUAGACGGCCUGAGAGGGUGGACGGCCACAAUGGUACUGAGGGACGGCGCAGAGUGGAACGGGAGGCAGCGGGGGGGAAUAUGACACAGUGGGCGGAAGCCUGAUGCAGCGACGCCGCGGGCGGGAUGACGUCCUUCGGGUGGUAAACCGGUAUCGCCUGUGACGAAGCGUGAGUGACGGUAAUGGGUAAAGAAGCACCGGCUAACUACGUG
rnacentral:rRNA from 1 species